rnacentral:rRNA from 1 species
AGGAUGUACGCUGGCGGCGUGCUUAACACAUGCAAGUCACGGGGGCCCAGCAAUGGGCAACCGGCGAACGGGUGCGUAACACGUGAGCAACCUACCUAAGUGAGGGGGAUAGCCGGCCCAACGGCCGGGUAAUACCGCAUACGCUCGAAUUGAGGCAUUUUGAUUCGAGGAAACCUACGGGGCACUAUGAGGGGCUCGCGGCCUAUCAGCUAGUUGGUGAGGUAACGGCUCACCAAGGCGACGACGGGUAGCGUGGUCUGAGAGGAUGGCCAGCCGACAGUUGGGACUGAGAGUACGGCCCGAGACUCCGUACGGGAGGCAGCGAGGUGGGG